rnacentral:rRNA from 1 species
UACGAAGGGGGGCUAGCGUUGCUCGGAAUUACUGGGCGUAAAGCGCGUGUAGGCGGCCUUCUAAGUCUGGUGUGAAAGCCCGGGGCUCAACCCCGGAAGUGCAUUGGAUACUGGGAGGCUGGAGUACCGGAGAGGAGGGUGGAAUUCCUGGUGUAGCGGUGAAAUGCGUAGAUAUCAGGAGGAACACCGGUGGCGAAGGCGGCCCUCUGGACGGAUACUGACGCUGAGACGCGAAAGCGUGGGGAGCAAACAGG